CUGCAUUGUAUGAAACUUCCCUGCCCUCUUCCCGACGUCCCGCACCUUCUAGCACCUUCCCGCACCGUCGCCUCUUUCCCGGCCGCCAUCCUGCGCUGUAGGUCAGGGCGCCUCGGGAGGAUCUGUGACUGCUGUUCCUUGUGUGAGAAGUGUCCUCAGGGAGAGCGUGGAUUGUGAGGUCCCAGAUGAGUCCGUGGUGUGCAGGGGCUCCAUGGGAGUUGUCAUUAUGUCAAGAACACUGAGGGGAUGCUGCCUUGGAUCCAGAGAUCAUUGAUGCAGACUCCAACAUGAUUGAGGCACGGAUGAUGACCUGGGUUCCCCAGGUCCCCUGGAGGGGCCUUCUCAUGGUAAGUUAAUGUCAAGAGGCUAAGUUGGUCUAUGUUGCUGCAGAUGGAAAUUCCAAGCCUUUGACUUUCUCCUUUGGAUUAUUUUGAGUUGAUCUUGG